rnacentral:rRNA from 1 species
GAUGAACGCUGGCGGCGUGCCUAAUACAUGCAAGUCGAGCGAACAGACGAGGAGCUUGCUCCUCUGACGUUAGCGGCGGACGGGUGAGUAACACGUGGAUAACCUACCUAUAAGACUGGGAUAACUUCGGGAAACCGGAGCUAAUACCGGAUAAUAUAUUGAACCGCAUGGUUCAAUAGUGAAAGACGGUUUUGCUGUCACUUAUAGAUGGAUCCGCGCCGCAUUAGCUAGUUGGUAAGGUAACGGCUUACCAAGGCGACGAUGCGUAGCCGACCUGAGAGGUGGAUCGGCAACACGGGACCGAGACCAGGUGCCAGACUCCAACGGGAGGCAGCGGUAGGAAUUUUGCCGAAAGGGGCGAAAGCCUGACGAGGCAACGCGGCGUGAGUGAGGAAGGUCUCCGGUUCGUAAAACUCUGUUAUUAGGAAAGAACAAAUGUGUAAGUAACUAUGCACGUCUGGACGGAACCAAAGCAGAAGGCCACGCCUACCUCCUG